UAAUACCGCAUACGUCCUACGGGAGAAAGCAGGGGACCCUUUGGCCUUGCGCUAUCAGAUGAGCCUAGGUCGGAUUAGCUAGUUGGUGAGGUAAUGGCUCACCAAGGCGACGAUCCGUAACUGGUCUGAGAGGAUGAUCAGUCACACUGGAACUGAGACACGGUCCAGACUCCUACGGGAGGCAGCAGUGGGGAAUAUUGGACAAUGGGCGAAAGCCUGAUCCAGCCAUGCCGCGUGUGUGAAGAAGGUCUUCGGAUUGUAAAGCACUUUAAGUUGGGAGGAAGGGCAGUAAGCUAAUACCUUGCUGUUUUGACGUUACCNACAGAAUAAGCACCGGCUAACUCUGUGCCAGCAGCCGCGGUAAUACANAGGGUGCAAGCGUUAAUCGCAAUUACUGGGCNUAAAGCGCGCGUAGGUGGUUCGUUAAGUUGGAUGUGAAAGCCCCGGGCUCAACC
rnacentral:rRNA from 1 species